rnacentral:rRNA from 1 species
CUACGGGUGGCAGCAGUGAGGAAUAUUGCACAAUGGGGGGAACCCUGAUGCAGCAACGCCGCGUGGAGGAUGACGCAUUUCGGUGUGUAAACUCCUUUUAUAUGUCAAGAAAAUGACGGUAGCAUAUGAAUAAGCACCGGCUAACUCCGUGCCAGCAGCCGCGGUAAUACGGAGGGUGCAAGCGUUACUCGGAAUCACUGGGCGUAAAGGACGCGUAGGCGGGUUGGAAAGUCAGGUGUGAAAUCCUACAGCUUAACUGUAGAACUGCACUUGAAACUUCUAAUCUAGAGUAUGGGAGGGGGGGAUGGAAUUAGGGGUGUAGGGGUAAAAUCCGUAGAUAUCACUAGGAAUACCUAAAGCGAAGGCGAUCUCCUGGAACAUUACUGACGCUAAGGCGUGAAAGCGUGGGGAGCAAACAGGAUUAGAUACCCUUGUAGUC